UGUGUUAAGUCAUAGCCACACGGAGGAGGAAUUGCUUGUUUCAGAGGUACUGGAUUAGUGAAUACCGAUCGUGAUCUAAAAUAUUAUUGGGUUGUAACAUUUGUUCCUUCUGUGUUAUAUCAUUGAAAGUCAAGCCUUGAAAAUAAGCUCUGCUGCUCGUAGCUAUCUUAUUGUCUCGAGCCGAGAUCGCAGUUACGAUAAACCGCGAUGUUUGAAAUAUCAUUUAUCACAGUGAGGCGUGCGUCAGGGUAGUUGGUUUGAACACGCAGGAACAAGUAUACAAGUGUAAUAAACAAGUCCUAUGAACCGCAAUAGAAAUCUAUGUUACAACCCAAGAUUCUUGAUAGGGAUAUAAAAUUCAGAAAAUGUAUUAUCAACCGAAAAACGAUAAUGUAGGGGAGAAACGGGCGGACUCCGCGCUCGGAGAACUUAACGAUCUCGCUGUAUGAUCUCGGUCGUGAGCGGACUCGAUCCCAGUCGCAUUCUGCAGAUUGGGUACUGGGGCGAAACGCUGACGGCUUAGUUCUUGGGCAAAGUGCCGGAGGACCAGGGCGAGGAAUCUUGGUUGCUGCAACCUGCGUAUAUAGGGUGCUAUGCUCGGGUAUCUAGAUAUUCUGUAUGGAAACUUGGAUGUAACAGCUCAUCCUUACCUCAUCGUUAUUUCGAGGACGGCUAGGACGACGCCGUAGAACAGGGUCUCGGCGCCAAAGACCUUUACCAGCACCCGCAGUAGACUGGGAUGCACCGGCUCAUCGUCGUCUUCGUCUUCCUUCGGGCCCUUGGACUUGCUCUUCUUCGAGUCCCGCUUGGCGGUCAGUCUCUGAAUCUCGUUCUCCCAUGCUUUCGUUAUCUUCUCCCCGAGGAUACCGCUCGUGUGCUCCUUCAACGGAGUGUAUAGAUCUUCGACCUCGAGGUCACGCUUAUAACCGACCCAGAACGUGCCCAGGAUCCAU